rnacentral:rRNA from 1 species
AUUCCGGUUGAUCCUGCCGGAGGCCAUUGCUCUUGGGGUCCGAUUUAGCCAUGCUAGUCGCACGGGUUCAGACCCGUGGCAAAUAGCUCAGUAGCACGUGGCCAAUCUACCCUCUGGAACGGCAUACCCUCGGGAAACUGAGGUUAAUUCCGUACACCGCUCUCAACCUGGAAUGGUGGGAGCUCGAAACGCUCCGGCGCCGGAGGAUGAGGCUGCGGCCGAUUAGGUUGACGGUGGGGUAAUGGCCCACCGUGCCGAUAAUCGGUCUGGGUCAUGAGAGUGAGAACCCAGAGACGGAUUCUGAGACAAGAUUCCGGGCCCUACGGGGCGCAGCAGGCGCGAAACCUUUACACUGCACGCCAGUGCGAUAAGGGGACCCCAAGUGC